GUUUAAAUAGCUUAAAAAUAAAGUUUUUUAUUGAAGAUAAAAAAAUGAUAGGAAUCUAUCUUUAAACA
rnacentral:tRNA from 2 species